rnacentral:rRNA from 1 species
GAAAGUAAAGAAGGGCGCAUGGCGGAUGCCUUGGCUCUCGGAGGCGAUGAAGGACGUGAUAAGCUGCGAUAAGCUUUGGGGAGGUGCAAAUGACCUUUGAUCCAGAGAUUUCCGAAUGGGACAACCCAAUAUCUUGAAGAGGUAUUAUCUUACUAUGUAAGAGGCUAACGCAGGGAACUGAAACAUCUUAGUACCUGCAGGAAAAGAAAAUAAACAAUGAUUCCCCCAGUAGUGGCGAGCGAACGGGGAACAGCCCAAACCAUCCAUGUUACGGCAUGGGUGGGGUUGUAGGACUACGCCGUUGCAUGAAGACAUCAGAGAAGAACUUUCUGGAAAGAAAGACCAUAGAGCAUGACAGUUGCGUAUUCGAAUGUUGUCGAAGCAUAGUAGUAUCCUGAGUAGCGCGGAGCACGAGGAAUUCUGCGUGAAUCUGCCGGGACCAUCCGGUAAGGCUAAAUACUCCCGAGAGACCGAUAGCGAACCAGUACCGUGAGGGAAAGGUGAAAAGCACUUCGAACAGAAGAGUGAAAUAGUUCCUGAAACCGUGCGCCUACAAGCGGUCGGAGCUCGUUAAUGAGUGACGGCGUGCCUUUUGCAUAAUGAACCUACGAGUUGCCUUUGCCGGCAAGGUUAAGUGUGACGACACACGUAUCCGAAGCGAAAGCGAGUCUGAAUAGGGCGUAUAGUCGGCAGUGGCAGACGCGAAACCAAGUGAUCUACCCUUGGCCAGGUUGAAGGCUGGGUAACACCAGCUGGAGGACCGCACCAAUAAGCGUUGAAAAGCUUCUGGAUGAGCUGAGGGUAGGGGUGAAAGGCUAAUCAAACUUGGAGAUAGCUCGUACUCCCCGAAAUGCAUUUAGGUGCAGCCUUGCGGGUUACUGAUGUGAGGUAGAGCGACUGAUAAGAUGCGAGGGCUUCACCGCCUAUCAAGUCUUGACAAACUCCGAAUGCGCAUCAGUUCUACCGCAGGAGUGAGGGCAUGGGUGCUAAGGUCCGUGCCCGAGAGGAGAAGAAUCCGGACCACCUGCUAAGGUCCCGAAAUGACAGCUAAGUUAAACUAACGAAGUCUGACUGCUAAGACAGCUAGGAUGUUGGCUUGGAAGCAGCCAUUCAUUUAAAGAGUGCGUAACAGCUCACUAGUCGAGGAGUCGGGCGUGGAUAAUAAUCGGGUAUUAAGUUGUCUACCGAAGCAGUGGGAUCAUUUAUAUGAUCGGUAGGGGAGCAUUCCAGUCAGCGUCGAAGGCGUACCGUGAGGUAUUCUGGAGCGUCUGGAAAAGCAAAUGUAGGUAUAAGUAACGAUAAAGGGGGCGGGAAACCCCCUCGCCGAAAGACUAAGGUUUCCUGAUCAACGCUAAUCGGAUCAGGGUCAGUCGGGUCCUAAGGCUCAGCCGAACGGCGAUGCCGAUGGCAGAAACGGUUAAUAUUCCGUUACUACCUUCAGGAGUGACGUGGAGACGCAGUAGUGACAGUGCCGCCAUCUGACGGAAUAGAUGGUUGAAGGGUGUAGGAGUCGAUCAUGGCAGGCAAAUCCACCAUGAGAUCCGAACCUGAUAGUAUGCCGCGUCCUUCGGGACAAGGCAAUAGUGCGCGUAAGCAUGCUGCCGAGAAAAUCCGCUAAACUUAAUCCUGCAGGUACCCGUACCGCAAACGGACACACGUAGUCGGGAUGAAUAUUCUAAGGCGCUUGAGUGAUUCACGGUUAAGGAACUAGGCAAACUGACCCUGUAACUUCGGGAUAAAGGGUCCCUACCCUUUUAUGGGAGGGCGCAGAGAAUCGGUCCAGGCAACUGUUUAACAAAAACACAGGGCUGUGCCAAAUCGAAAGAUCCAGUAUACAGCCUGACACCUGCCCGGUGCUGGAAGGUUAAGAGGAGAUGUCAUCGAUAAGAGAAGCGUUGAAUUGAAGCCCCAGUAAACGGCGGCCGUAACUAUAACGGUCCUAAGGUAGCGAAAUUCCUUGUCGGGUAAGUUCCGACCUGCACGAAUGGUGUAAUGAUCCGGACGCUGUCUCAACCGUGAGCUCAGUGAAAUUGUAGUAUCGGUGAAGAUGCCGAUUACCCGCGAUGGGACGAAAAGACCCCGUGAACCUUUACUAUAGCUUAUCAUUGAAUCUGGGCACGUGAUGUGUAGGAUAGGUCGGAGGCUUUGAAGCAGGUACGCCAGUAUUUGUGGAGCCGCUGUUGAAAUACGACCCUUUAUUUGUUUGGAUUCUAACCCGUGGAUACGGGGACAUUGAUUGGUGGGUAGUUUGACUGGGGUGGUCGCCUCCAAAAGCGUAACGGAGGCUUCUAAAGGUGCCCUCCGGCCGAUUGGUAACCGGCCUUAGAGUGUAAUGGCAUAAGGGCGCUUGACUGGGAGACUAACAAGUCGAUCAGGUAGGAAACUAGAGCAUAGUGAUACGUGUCUGUUCCGAUGAAUAAUUACGGUAUUCUAUCCCAUUAUGGCUCGUUCCCGGUUGAUAAUAGAGCCGACUUUCCUUUCCCCGGCUGGUACUCAGAAAACUCCCCGCCAACAUGACGCCCAAUUUAUCAUCAAAAAAGCGGUCGCCAUACGAAAGUCCGGCAGUCAGGUCCGGCAGCGGUUUCUUCCAUUUCAUCCGUAGGUUCGAAGUCGUAAAGUCUUCCAUCGUCACUUUGUAAUCUUCCGGUUUCCCCAACGCUUCGUAAGGAGAUUUCUUUACGAUACCGCCCCGGUUGAACGAUUGGAAGUCACGACCGAAAUACAUCGCGUUAUAACCGGUAGACAAGUUGGCCGUAAAUUGGCGUUCGGAAGGAGCAUCUUU